rnacentral:rRNA from 1 species
UACAGAGGGGGCAAGCGUUGUUCGGAAUUACUGGGCGUAAAGGGCGCGUAGGCGGCCUUCUAAGUCGAACGUGAAAUCCCCGGGCUCAACCCGGGAACUGCGUCCGAUACUGGAAGGCUUGAAUCCGGGAGAGGGAUGCGGAAUUCCAGGUGUAGCGGUGAAAUGCGUAGAUAUCUGGAGGAACACCGGUGGCGAAGGCGGCGACCUGGGCCAAUAUUGACGCUGAGGUGCGAAAGCGUGGGGAGCAAACAGG